rnacentral:rRNA from 1 species
UACGGAGGGGGCAAGCGUUAUUCGGAAUUAUUGGGCGUAAAGGGCGCGUAGGCGGCUAGAUGUGUCAAAGGUGAAAUCCCUCGGCUCAACUGAGGAACUGCCUUUGAAACUGUCUGGCUUGAGGCCGGGAGAGGGUAGCGGAAUUCCCAGUGUAGCUGUGAAAUGCGUAGAUAUUGGGAGGAACACCAGUGGCGAAGGCGGCUACCUGGACCGGUUCUGACGCUGAGGCGCGAAAGCGUGGGUAGCAAACAGG